AAGGAUGCAGAGAAAGCCAUCAACACUUUAAAUGGACUCAGACUCCAGACCAAAACCAUAAAGGUCUCAUAUGCCCGUCCGAGCUCUGCCUCAAUCAGGGAUGCUAACCUCUAUGUUAGCGGCCUUCCCAAAACCAUGACCCAGAAGGAACUGGAGCAACUUUUCUCGCAAUACGGCCGUAUCAUCACCUCACGAAUCCUGGUUGAUCAAGUCACAGGAGUGUCCAGAGGGGUGGGAUUCAUCCGCUUUGAUAAGAGGAUUGAGGCAGAAGAAGCCAUCAAAGGGCUGAAUGGCCAGAAGCCCAGCGGUGCUACGGAACCGAUUACUGUGAAGUUUGCCAACAACCCCAGCCAGAAGUCCAGCCAGGCCCUGCUCUCCCAGCUCUACCAGUCCCCCAACCGGCGCUACCCAGGUCCACUUCACCACCAGGCUCAGAGGUUCAGGCUGGACAAUUUGCUUAAUAUGGCCUAUGGCGUAAAGAGGUAAUUAAAACUCCACAGAUUGCCAGAUGUCCAUGUUGGCACAGACUGGGGCUAGAAUUUUUUUUUUUUUUAAUUCACUAACUUUACUUUAAAAAAAAAAUUCUUCCUUUUUCUUCCA
rnacentral:sRNA from 1 species